GAUGAAGAACGUAGUGAAAUGCGAUAAGUAGUGUGAAUUGCAGAAUUCAGUGAAUCAUCGAAUCUUUGAACGCACAUUGCGCCCCUUGGUAUUCCAUGGGGCAUGCCUGUUCGAGCGUCAUUUGUACCUUCAAGCCUUGCUUGGUGUUGGGUGUUUGUCUCGCCUCUGCGCGCAGACUCGCCUCAAAACAAUUGGCAGCCGGCGUAUUGAUUUCGGAGCGCAGUACAUCUCGCGCUUUGCAAUCAGAACGACGACGUCCAAAAGUACAUUUUUACACUCUUGACCUCGGAUCAGGUAGGGAUACCCGCUGAACUUAAGCAUAUCAAUAAGCGGAGGA
rnacentral:misc_RNA from 1 species